rnacentral:rRNA from 1 species
AAAGUGGCUUCGGCCACGAGUAGAGUGGCGCACGGGUGAGUAACGCGUGGAUAAUCUGCCUCUGCAAUCGGAAUAACGACUGGAAACGGUCGCUAAUACCGGAUACGCUUAAGUUUUAUCUCUUAAGGAAAGAUGACCUCUAUUUAUACGUUAUCGUGCAGAGAUGAGUCCGCGUCCCAUUAGCUUGUUGGCGGGGUAACGGCCCACCAAGGCGACGAUCGGUAGCCGACCUGAGAGGGUGAUCGGCCACAUUGGAACUGAGAGACGGUCCAGACUCC